CCUCCGAACUGCUGAGAAAUAUUGCAAAAAUGACUUCAGCUGCCAAAAAUAAUGUCGUUUACAAGCAGCUCUUCCUAUGUCUAAGGAAGAACUAGUCACACAUGCGAGUUUUUGCUGGCUUGAGAACAAGCAAGGAAAAAGACAAAUCCCACCUACCCUAGCCUAAAAUACACAGUGAGUCUCAGAACCCCGCGGAAGCUGUGGCUCAUUUCUAAAGGUGCUGGCAAUAUCGAGGAAGACUUGUAUCCACAAAAUUCCAAAUGGAAAAGAGAGAAAAGAGAACAACAAACAGAUGUGUGAAAAAAAGACACGAAGUACAAAACGGAUGUAUUAAUGGCAAAUAUUAAAUAAUCAAGUCAUUAUUGUGAAUUUGGAUCUAAAUGACCUGGCAGAAACCAUGGAGAUGAUCUUGGAUUUAAAGAGGAAAAACUCAAAGCAAUGUAUUCUGAUCAAGAAAUGGCAGGAAAUGGCAGCUACCUGAUAUGGAACAAUCAACAACUGAAGGUUUAUUUUGAAUGAGAGGUGUUGUCCAACUGCGAGACGGAGUGAUUGAAGCUGAGAAUAAAUGGAAACACAAUCAAUAGUCACUCCAGUGAGGUAGGAAAGAAAGCCAUUCCGAAGUGGCAGAGAAGCUGCUUUUUCCUCCUGCAUGCUGCCUGCUAGUGUGGAUCUUGGCAUAACAGACACUACUUGGCAAAAGAUCCAUCCUUCCUUUUCCUAUACUUUGCUCAGCGGCCUGGAAGAUUGACCUCAAAAGCAAAAUCACCUGGAUUUCCUUGCCAUUUGGCUUUCAAAUGUGCUCAGCCAAUGACAGGCUGGAAAGAAAUUGACAGCUGGGAAAAGAGGAAGAUUUGUGUACAAGAUCCCUUCCACUCCCAUCUCAUUACCUGCCAUGGUCCUAGCAGUGGCUGUUCUUAUUAUGGCCACAACUACUCUUGGACAGGCCAACAUCCACAACUCCAUCCUUCAACUAGGCUUCAUUAACACUGUCCCUCACCCUUAUCUCUUUCUGGGUAGGGGUGAUAAAGGUUUCCUGACAUCAGAGUUCCUGAGUGCCUCAUAUAUUCUUGUUGGUCCCUGAACCUUGCCCCAACAUCAAUAAAAAGUUCCUUCAUUAAAUAAUUUUCAGUUGAAUCUUUCGUGCUGGGAUCUGUCCAAUUCGACUUUAGCAUACUUUUCGUGCCAAGAAAGUGAUAGUUUCUUGCCAGGAUUUGGCUCAAAGGGCUCACAGUGGGUGAGGGGAUGAGAUUACUUAUUAAGUGAUAAAAUGGAGAUCACAGUGGUUAACCUGCCUAAGAUCACAUGGUUGGUCAACUCAUGG
rnacentral:lncRNA from 1 species